UACGGAGGGGGCAAGCGUUGUUCGGAAUUAUUGGGCGUAAAGAGUAUGUAGGCGGCUAUUUAAGUCAGGCGUGCGAGCCCACGGCUCAACCGUGGAAUUGCGUUUGAAACUAUUUAGCUUGAGUACAGGAGAGGAAGGCGGAAUUCCCAGUGUAGCGGUGAAAUGCAUUGAUAUUGGGAAGAACACCGGUGGCGAAGGCGACUUCUUGGCCGAGGACUGACGCUGAGGUGCGAAAGUGUGGGGAGCAAACAGG
rnacentral:rRNA from 1 species